UAAUGUGUAACACGAUUAAGUAAAGCAUAAAUAAAAUGAUACUAGGUUGACACGGAUCGAGUGUCAACGUGCAGGCGAUCGUCGUCACGGCGAGUGUCGGAAGCGUCGAUGUUGACGGCGGUGAUGACGCCGGUGUCUGGUUCAGCAAAGAGGCUCCGAGAUGACGUGGCUUGGCGAUCGGCAUUGAAUGAGAUCAGGUAAUCUGGAAGCAACGUGAUUGGUUGCUCUCCUUUAAUUAGGUGAUUCAGUGAGUGUUGAUGGGUUCUUCUGAGAGUUAUCAAACUUGAUUCUUGGUGUCCGUUGGAGUCUUUGUUUUAUACCUAAGGCUGCAACGGAUAUGUUGUCAGUAAAAAGAUUAGUUAAUAUCUUACUUUGGUCUUGUAUUUGAUACUCCCCCUCAAGACGAGCGUGUAGUGCUCUGUUUUGUAUAACUGCUGGUUUUAAUAUGUUUAGUAAAUGCAAUUUGGGGAGGAGGUAGUUGUACGUGGGCCCGGGAAGUGAUUUUGUAUAGAUGUCUGCCGGAUUCUCUUUUGUUGAAACGUAUAGCAGGUCGAUUUCCCUUGCCAGCACCUUGUCCGCACGAAGUGCACAUCUAUUUCGAUGUGCUUGGUCUUCUGGUGAGAAACGGGAUUCCUUGCUAUUGAAGCGGCGAAGGUACUGUCAGUGUAUAAGCGUGGUAGUUUCAUUCCGGUGUCUGCAUUUCGUGAAGGAGUGUGUAGAUCCAGGUGACCUCACAUGUUGCGGUGGACAAGGCACGGUAUUCUGCUUUGGCAGAAGAUUUUGAUACGGUGUGUUGUUUGCGUGUCUGCCAACUGAUCAUGUUUCUCCCUAGGUAGACGCAGUAGCCGGUAAUGGAGCGUCAAGUGGAUGCACAAGCGGCCCAGUCGGAGUCGGAGUAUGUUGCUAUUGCCUCUGUGGAGGAAGAUGAAAAAAACAAUCCGGUUCCAGGUGCGCCCUUUAUAUAGUGUAUCGUGCGUAAUGCUGGUUGCAUAUCUGUUUUUUCCGUUUUUGACAUAUGUUAACUGAGGGCGUUAACUAUAUAAGUUAUGUCCGGACGUGUUACUGUCAGGUACAUGAGUUUCCCGACCACGCUUCUGUAGAUAUGAGGAUCUUCCAUUAGGAGAUCUUCUGUGGUACCUGCAUGGUUAUUUAAGUUAGAUAUAUUCCUUUGAAUGGUGCAUGGGGUGUCUACUGGUUUUGAAUCAAGUAGACCUGCCGUGUUUAUGAUAUCUAAUGCAUAUUUGUGUUGGCAUAUUGAUAAACAUCUUUUGUUUUAGAUAUUUCGAGACCAAGGAAAUAUUUUAGUUCCCCUAGGUCGGAUAUAUUAAAGUGUCUAUGCAAGUCGAUCUUUGUUCUUUUAAUUUCUUCUAAAUUAUUUCCUGUGAUUUGUAAAUCAUCAACGUAGGUUAAUAUUAUUAUGGUAGAUUUAUCGUUCUUCCUUAUGAAGAGUGAGUAGUCGCUCUUGCUUUGGGUAAAUUUUAAAUUUUCAAGUGUUUGUGAUAGUUUGUGGUACCAAACCCUUGAUGCUUGUUUAAGGCCGUAUGGUGAUUUAUUUAACUUACAGACUGGGUUUUUUAUGUUGUAUGGUAAAUGUCCAAUUCCUUGUGGAAUGGUCAUGUAGAUUUCAUCGUUGAGGCUGCAUGAAGGAAUGCGUUCUGGACGUCCAUCUGGUGUGUGUGCCAUCCUCGAAUGGUUGCUAUGGAUAGUACAGCACGUAGUAUGGUCAUUUUGGAGACUGGUGCGAAGGUCUCGGUGUAGUCGAUUCCUUGUAGUUGAGUAUAUCCCUUCGCGACUAACCUAGCCUUGUAUUUGUUGACUGUUCCAUCAGGGUUAAUCUUCGUUUUGUAUAUCCAUUUGCAGUCGAUUGGUCGUUUUUCAUUUGGUAGGGUUGCGAUAUUCCAUGUCUGGUUUUUCUUUAGUGCAUCUAGUUCACAGUUCAUGGCCUUGAUCUAAACUUCUUGUUUUGCUGCCUGUUUGAAACUAGUUGGGUUUUGAUGGUUUAAAAGUUUCGUCAUGAACUGUCUAUGUGAGUUUGAAAUUUUUUCGUAACUUAGGUAGUUAUUGAUUUCGUAUUUUGUUGAGUGUGGAAGUUCGACCUCAUAGUCCUUCAGAUGUGCGGGUAAUCUGGUUUGCCUUUGGGAAGUUCUCGUUUCUUCCCUUUCGUUGUGGGUCAUGGGUUGUUGUUGGUCUAUUAUUUCCCUUUGGGUCGUUGGUUGUUGCUGAUCUUUUAUUGGGUCAUUUAAUUUGUUUGGUUUGGGUCAUUUUUAUUAGUUGGUUCGAGGUCUAAAUCAUUCUCGAAUGUAUAUAGGGGUGCAAAUUCUAGGUUUUCUUCUACGUCUUUUCUUCUGAAGGGGAAGUCUUCUCCAUUGAAGAUGACGUCUCUGCUGAUGUGUAUGAGUCUCAAGAAGUUAUUACGAGGAGGGUGAAGUCCAAGCGCAAGUCCAAGUUGCUCGCACGCGUCCUGUUGUAGAAAGAUCGAUCUGGAAUCGAUUUGGAAAUCAGGGAUUGAUUUGGAAAUCGGUCUGGAAUCGCGAGUUAUAAAAAUAAAUGUAUUUUGAUUGCUAAUCAAGGAUCUUCUGAUGUUGGGAUCGGAAUCGCGGGUAUGACGACUCGCGGCAGGACAACGACGAUGCUCUGGAGACGACAUGGGUCUGCUGGAAAUCUGGAAUCGGCCGCACGCGUGUGAUUCUGGACCGGUCGCACGCGUGUGGAAUCGAUCUGGAACUGACGACGAUCUGGAGACGUCGUAAGUCUGGAAUCGAUCUAAUUCUGAUCGCGCGCGUGUGAUGGGUGUGGAAUCGGUCUGGAACGCGGUGGAAGAAGGAGGGUUUUCGAGGUUGGUGAUCGGUGGAAUGGUGGAGGUUUUGGUAGGAUAACAGGUCCCAAGCAAAGAUCUUGUAAAUCUUCGUCUUCUUGGUUGUCGUUUUGGGGCAGCCAGGCAUGACGUCCUGUUGUCAGCGCGUAACUUUAGUUAUGGGUAGUGGUUGUGUUCUGCUUGGACCAAGCAACCUUUUGCAUGAGGUUGACUGGUGUGUUUAGUGGUUUUGUCAGGAGCAGGGGAUGGGUUCCUUCUCUGAUACCAUAUGAGAAACAUGUCUCGUGAUGUUUGAUAACAUGGAUUGAGUAGUUGAUUAAGUUACUAAAGAUAUGUUUAUAUAUAAUCAAAUACAUAGAAGAAGUGCUUAAGCAAUGAAACAUAAUGUGUAAUACGAUUAAGUAAAGCAUAAAUAAAGUGAUACUAGGUUGACACGGAUCGAGUGCCAACGUGCAGGCGAUCGUCGUCACGGCGAGUGUCGGAAGCGUCGAUGCUGACAGCGGUGGUGACGCCGAGUCGAGCUUGGACAUGCCAAGCUCGAGCUCGGCUCGUUAAGCUAAACGAGCUUGAGCCUUGGGCUCGGGCUCGGCUCUUUGGGCUCGCGAGCCCGUCGAGCCGGGCUUUAUUUGACACCCUAAUAACUACCAGUCUACCAUAAUUUAUUUCCAUUAACUUUAGUAACGGCAAUCAGCCAUCACUACAAAAAAACAACACAGUUCUAGCGCCCAUCUCUCGGCGCCCUGGCCGCUGGUAGAUAGGACCGACGGUCAGGCCGCCGGUAGUCUACACUUGUCCGCCGGUAUAAUUUUCUCUCGUAAAUGAGAGAAAUAAGCUGGCGGCCAGGCCGCUGGUGCCAUAUUUUUUUUAAGGCACUAGCGGCCUGGCCGCCGGCACCAAUUCUCCCAACGGUCGGGAAGAAAUGAGCUAGCGGCCAGGCCGCCAGCAUCCUAAAACCCUCAACGAUCGGGAGAAAAAUAGCUGGCGGCCAGGCCGUCGGCUAAUUUUCCCGCUUGUUUUCCAACGACUUGGCCGUCGGAAAUUUUUGGAAACCCUAGUUUAUAACUUGCGCCGCCGUGGUCCCCCCGUAGAGUCAAACAUAAUCGACUACAACUUAAGUAUAUCCCAGCGGCCUGACCGCCAGGAAUUUUUUAUAUAAGUAAAAAAAAAUCCAGAUUCUUUCAUUUCCCCCCCCCCCGAAUCGUCCCCACGCCUUCCUAAUCUUCCCCAACUCCCCUCCGACGAUCUAGCCUUCCUCCGGUCAUUUUUUUGUGGUCAUCAAAGGUAAAUCUUCUCUUCAUAUUCUUCUUCAUCUUUCUCUCUUCUUUUUGGUUUCCUCUUCUUCUUCUUCCCGUUUUUCUUCAUCUUCUCUUCUUUUUAUUUUCUUCUUCUUCAUUUAAUCUUCAUUUUUUGUUAAUAUUGUUCUUCAUUUGAUUGAUUGUUUUAUUUUAUUUUUUUCUUUAUGUUAAUUGAUUUUGUUGUUGAUCUUCAUUUUUUGAUUUUGAUUUGGGGUUUAUUUGAUUAUUGUAUUUAGGGGUUUAAAUUAUUUUAAUGUUUAUGUAUUUGGAAUUUGUGUAUUUUAGCGUUUAUGUAUUUUUGGGUGUUUUAGAUUUUUAUUAUAAUUAAUAUGUAUGUUAGUUAGUAUAAUUAAUAUGUUUGGGGGUUUUAGGGUUUAUUUUUUGGUGUUUAUAUAUUAAUAUAUGUUUGGGGUUUAUAUGAUUAUUGUAUUUAGAGACUUUAAUUUGUUUAUGAUUUAAACACUAAUUUGUUUUUAGUUUAUGAUAUAUGUACUGUUUUAAUUUGUUUAGUAAUUUAGUGUUUUUAGUAAUAAAUCUUUAUUUAGUUAAAAUGAAUGCAUGAAUUAAAAUAAAAUCAAAUUUUAAAUAAAUUUAAAAAUUAUUUAAAUAAAUGUUUAGUAAUUAUUUUCUAUAAAUGUGAUUUUUAAUUAGUUUUUCAUAAAUAUUUAGUAAUUAUUUAUUAAUUGGAUUGGUUAAUAAUUAAUAAUUAUUUAAUUAAUUAAUUAGGGUUAGGGUUAGGGUUAGUUAGUUUUUAAAUAAUUGUUUAAUAAUUAAUUAAGAUAAUAUUGAAAAUUGCAAUAAUCAGUUUUUAUAUUAAGAAACUGAUUUAAAAUCCAAUGUUUAAAACAAUUAUCUAAAAAUUAAUAUUUAUUUAUUUAUUAAUUAAAAAAAGUAACAAUCAAAUUUUCUAUAAGUGUGAUAGUUAGUUUUGAAAUAAAUGUUUAUUAAUCAAUUAUAAUUGUAUGUAUUUCAGUUGAAUGUCUGAAAUCCGGGUACCCGAUAAGACUUGGUUAACUUUGACCCCCUCUAGCCAAGAAUUCAGAGAUGGACUGACGACGUUUGUUCAAUAUGGUUUACGAAAAUGUCAUGGUUUGUAUAAGGAAGGAUAUUUACCAUGUCCAUGUAGAGAUUGUACUAAUAGAAAUGUCAUGAUGUGAAAUUUCUUUCGUUUUAUGUGUCAAAUUUUAAAAAGACAAAAUCACGGAGUAUUAGUCUCCGCCAUUACAUCCCAAGCUUUUUCACGCGGCCAGGCGACCAGGCGAUGUCUGGGACCGCAUAUGCGACCGCCUGGUCGCAUAUGCGGUCCAAUAUGCGACAUUUAUUUAUUUAUUUUUCAAUAUACCCCCUGUAUUUUUUAUAUUUUAAAUAAAUCCC
rnacentral:lncRNA from 1 species